rnacentral:tRNA from 1 species
AUUUUAUUAAUAUAACUUAAGUAUAUUUGUUUUCCAAUCAAAAAGUUUAAACUUUAAAUAAAAUA